CUCUUGUAAAGAACCGUUAAUCAGUUGUCCUGAUGAAUUCAUGCGUCUUAUCGAUUGUUCUCGCAAACAGCUUAAACUUUAAUUAAAUAUUGGAAGUGCAGCCUUUUGUUUGCAGUAUGCAAUGGUUACCUCCCUUACUUCAGUUUUGAAAAUGUCCCAAGUAACUCUAGGAUCAUUAUUUUUGGUUAAAUCUGUUGUUUGGCAGAGAUAUUGCAUUGUGCAUUUGCACUAAUUUACUUUUUGGAGUUUCAUGAUACAUAAAUAGGAGCAAUUUUAAUUUUGUUUUGUGACGACUGUGAUUUUGGAU